rnacentral:lncRNA from 10 species
GUUUCUGACACUAGAAAAUCAGAAGCUUUCAACCGUUCCCAGCGCCCUGACUUUGGGAGAGGCCAGUGAGCCUGUGGGUUUGGAGCCCGGUGGCAUGAGAGAAGCAUGUGUGGGAACGCCAGGGGCCGGCUUUGAACCCCAUUCCCUCAACAUGAUGCCGUGUGUGGCAGACAUGACGCUUGGCUUUGCUCUCUCAGGGUUCCAUCUGCGACAGGGGCUACUUGUGCCCCUGGCCUCAUCAGCUCAGGCUGAAGGCGGCCCUGGUCCUGGCCAGAGGGGCUUUGUGAAGCAGAAAUAGAUGGCCUGGUGCAGGGGCCGAGCCUGGCCAGGACCUCGGCCCUGGGAGUUGUAAAGAAGGCCGGCCUGUACCAUGAGCAUCUGCACCAAGCUGUGCCCAUGUCACGGUGUGCUCGGCAUCUGCCCUGGCACGGGUGCAUGGCCUGUCUGCACUCAGGCUCCCUGCCUAUGGGGCCCAGGCUCACAGAGGUAUGAAAGAGGCAAGCACGGCACCGGGUCUCCGAGCCCAGCCAGCCUCGCUUCGAUGCUGGGAGACUAACGUCUUCCAUUUUGUCUACUGCCCAGGCCAGCUGCGGGCUGUCCAGUGGCUGUGCUACUUCUACAGCACCGUCAUGCCCAGCGAGGCCCAGUGUGUCAUCUACCACGAGCUCCAGCUCUCUCUGGGCCUGCAAAGUGGCCGACAAGGUGCUGGAGGGGCAGCUCCUGGAGAAUGUCAGUCAGCUCUACCUGUCCCUGGGCAUGGAGCAGGCCUACAAAUCCGCUCUGGACUACACCAAACGAAGUCUGGGGAUUUUCAUUGACCUCCAGAGGAAAGAGAAGGAGGCGUAUGCCUGGCUGCAAGCAGGGAAGAUCUAUUACGUCCUGCGGCAGAGCGAGCUGGUGACCUGUACAUCCAGGUGGCACAGAUUGUGGACCUGUACACAGGCAACCCCAACCUGGGGCUGGAGCUGUUUGGGGCAGCUGGAGACAUCUUCUUCAGUGGGGCCUGGGAGCGGGAGGAAGGCAUGUCCUUCUACCGGGGGACCGGCUGAACGAACGCGUGGACUACCACCGGCUGGCAGCCCUGCACUACCGGUUGGGCCAUGGCAAGCUGGCGGAGCACUUCUACCUCAAGGCCCUGUAGCUCUGCAACUUGCCCCUGGAGUUUGA